UCAGGGUUAGCUACACAAAACACAUUUCUCUCCUGGCUUUCCUUUCCAAAACCUCCCCGCCGCCGCUUCUUCUCUCCUGCCUUUCCUUUCCAAGAUUAUAAUGCCAAAAUUUCCAAUACGCUUAAAGUCUCCUCGCUCUUUGCUUAUUUUCUUGUAAGUUUGCAGCUUCUUUACUCUUAGUUUCAACGCCAAAGGAGGAGAGGAAAAAAAAUUAGAUUAAAAGAAGGAGAUGGAGAUUUGAGAAGCUGGGCUAGAAUCCUCCGAAGUGUGUGGCCAGCAUUAUUUCCAGCUUAAGCCUUUGAAUAUGAUGGCGAGGCUUCUCCGAAAUGCUUCUUUUCUGGGAUGUACUCUGUUUCUGCAACCUCUCUCUCAGACUUAUAGGAAAGGCUUGUUAGGGGCAUCCACUCAACUCUCCUACUUUUCCUCCAAAAGGUAGAAGAAAAUCCAAAUCAGAUGUCAAAGAAAGAUUUGGCACUCAAGCAGGCAAUGUAUCAGAUCACUGCAUCAUUUGGAAAAGGUUCUAUCAUGUGGCUUGGCUGCUCUGCCCCUAUCAAACAAGUUCCAGUUGUGUCUACAGGUUUAUUUGCUUUGGAUAUUGCACUUGGGAUUGGAGGACUUUCAAAGAAACUUAAUGCGACAAUCUCGACAGGUGAUUUUACUAAAUUGGAUUUUGCAGACUACAAUGGGCCUUGCAGAGGAUAUAAUCAGUUGGGCAGCAUUGGAUACAACACUGAGCAGUUCUUUUCAAAGUUAAGAAAGCCUAAUACUGCUUAAAGAAAGCUUUGGUUUCACGUAAGCAAGAAUUGGCUUUGAUUAGCAUACACUCAUCUUGAGGUUGUUGCGGGAGAACUUAGCAAAUCUUGCCAUGGGCGGCAGCAGAAACAAAAUUGAUUUUGGAUAGGGGAAAGAUGCAUUGUGCGUUUCAAGCUCCAUGCUGCAUGCUUUCUUAUUUAUCAAUGUAAUUAGUUUAGGACAAUUCGUUAUUGAAUUUAUUAGACCCUCUUUGUUAUAGGUUUCUUUUUGGUUUAUCUGUAACUAAAUUCCAUCAGACAAACAGUUCCAUUAAAUGGAUCUAUUUUGAAUAUGUACAAAUUGUUUUAUUAAAUUGGGCAUCUCCAUUUUUUUCCC